GAAAUUCUGAACUUUAAUUUUUCUUUUUGAUGCAUGAUCCACAGUGGUAGUUCAACAUAGCUUUCUGUGCUAAGAGCGUUUAAACUUGCAUACCUUUUGUAGCUUUUUCACUUCUGCAAAUAGGCAAGAGUCUGUGUUAGUGGUUACUUACCUUAAUCAGAGUAUCUAGGGACAACAAUCUUGUAGUUUGUACUAGUAAUUAUCUUGUAUUGGCAAAUUCUUCUCAGUGUUUAUAGUUCAUUUGUUUAUAAAGGUGAAUGAUAUACAUGAAAUAUGAUACUCUAGAAAUGAGCAAUUUUAUUCAUGUCCUGACUAAUUUCUAUUAAUAGCUUAUCAUAUUUUUCUGACGGUUUAACCAUAGGAGAAAUGUGGAGAUUAUCUUUUAUGCUUUAAUUCAUGUUCUGAACCUUUCAUUUUGACGACUGAUUAUCAUUACUUAUAUGCAUGCUUUCUUGGGACAUAUAGCAGUAGUGGAGGUAUAGUGGCUUAU
rnacentral:misc_RNA from 1 species